CCGACUAUACUAAUAAACAAUUUCUAAGCUGUUUUAUAAUAAUUUUUUGAAUUCAUUAAUCAUAUUUUUUAUUUAAAACUAAAAUUUGUUAAUAAUGCUUAGUAAUGCAUAUAUUUUGUAUUUUUAGUUUUCCAGAAGAUCCUGCGAAGGAGGCAUGAAGUAUAGAUCAGAUUUGUUAAUAGAGGAGUAUGUUCAAAACAUUUUCUAGAAAAAGAUAUUGACAGAACUUCACUUUCAUCUGUUCGUUUGAGAGACUGUGCUGUUCCAAUAGCUUAUGUCACACAGAAUCAGCUGAGAGAAGUGGUCUACAAAAAACCAGAAAGGAAACAGAAUAUGUGGCUAC
rnacentral:lncRNA from 1 species